GGAUGCUUUAACAUGCAGUCGAACGGCAGCACGGACUUCGGUCUGGUGGCGAGUGGCGAACGGGUGAGUAACAUAUCGGAACGUAUCCAAUAAUGGGGGAUAACGAGUCGAAAGAUUCGCUAAUACCGCAUACGCCCUACGGGGGAAAGCUGGGGACCUUCGGGCCUGGCGUUAAUGGAGCGGCCGAUAUCUGAUUAGCUAGUUGGUGAGGUAAAGGCUCACCAAGGCGACGAUCAGUAGCUGGUCUGAGAGGACGACCAGCCACACUGGAACUGAGACACGGUCCAGACUCCUACGGGAGGCAGCAGUGGGGAAUUUUGGACAAUGGGCGCAAGCCUGAUCCAGCCAUUCCGCGUGAGUGAAGAAGGCCUUCGGGUUGUAAAGCUCUUUCGCAAGGGAAGAAAACUUAGCCACUAACAUUGGCUGAGGUUGACGGUACCUUGAUAAGAAGCACCGGCUAACUACGUGCCAGCAGCCGCGGUAAUACGUAGGGUGCGAGCGUUAAUCGGAAUUACUGGGCGUAAAGCGUGCGCAGGCGGCUUUGUAAGUCAGAUGUGAAAUCCCCGAGCUCAACUUGGGAACUGCGUUUGAAACUACAAGGCUAGAAUAUGUCAGAGGGGGGUAGAAUUCCACGUGUAGCAGUGAAAUGCGUAGAGAUGUGGAGGAAUACCAAUGGCGAAGGCAGCCCCCUGGGAUAAUAUUGACGCUCAUGCACGAAAGCGUGGGGAGCAAACAGGAUUAGAUACCCUGGUAGUCCACGCCCUAAACGAUGUCUACUAGUUGUUGGUGGAGUAAAAUCCAUGAGUAACGCAGCUAACGCGUGAAGUAGACCGCCUGGGGAGUACGGUCGCAAGAUUAAAACUCAAAUGAAUUGACGGGGGCCCGCACAAGCGGUGGAUUAUGUGGAUUAAUUCGAUGCAACGCGAAAACCUUACCUGGCC
rnacentral:rRNA from 1 species